CGGGGUGUGGCGCAGCGGUUUAGCGCGCAUGGUUUGGGACCAUGAGGUCGGUGGUUCAAAUCCACUCACCCCGA
rnacentral:tRNA from 2 species